rnacentral:rRNA from 1 species
GGACGAACGCUGGCGGCGUGCUAACACAUGCAAGUCGAACGAGGUAUAGGAGAGCUUGCUCGAUUAUAACCGAGUGGCGGACGGGUGAGUAACGCGUGAGCAACCUGUCUCACACAGGGGAAUAACGCAUCGAAAGAUGUGCUAAUACCGCAUAGGACCACGGAAUCGCAUGGUUUUGAGGUGAAAGGAGCAAUCCGGUGUGAGGUGGGCUCGCGUCUGAUUAGAUAGUUGGUGAGGUAACGGCCCACCAAGUCAACGAUCAGUAGCCGACCUGAGAGGGUGAUCGGCCACAUUGGGACUGAGACACGGCCCAGACUCCUACGGGAGGCAGCAGUGGGGAAUAUUGGGCAAUGGGCGAAAGCCUGACCCAGCAACGCCGCGUGAAGGAAGAAGGUUUUCGGAUCGUAAACUUCUGUCCUUGGUGAAGAGAUAGAGACGGUAGCCAAGGAGGAAGCCCCGGCUAACUACGUGCCAGCCGCUGC